ACCCGCUGAACUUAAGCAUAUCAAUAAGCGGAGGAAAAGAAACUAACAAGGAUUCCCCUAGUAACGGCGAGUGAAGCGGGAAGAGCUCAAAUUUAAAAUCUGGCGGUCUUCGGCCGUCCGAGUUGUAGCCUAGAGAAGCGUUUUCCGCGGCGGACCAUGUACAAGUCUCUUGGAACAGAGCGUCAUAGAGGGUGAGAAUCCCGUCCUUGACAUGGACCCCCGUCGCUCUGCGAUGCGCUCUCGAAGAGUCGAGUUGUUUGGGAAUGCAGCUCAAAAUGGGUGGUAAAUUCCAUCUAAAGCUAAAUAUUGGCGAGAGACCGAUAGCGAACAAGUACCGUGAGGGAAAGAUGAAAAGCACUUUGGAAAGAGAGUCAAACAGUACGUGAAAUUGUUAAAAGGGAAACGAUCAAAGUCAGUCGCGUCUGCCGGAACUCAGCCUCGCCCUCGCGCGUGGUGCAUUUUCCGGUCCGACGGGCCAGCGUCGAUUUUGACCGGCGGAGAAGGGUGGGGGGAACGUGGCUCCUCUCGGAGCGUUAUAGCCCCUCGCCGCAAACGUCGGUCGGGAUCGAGCCCUCUCGCACGGCACGCCCCCAGGUGGUGCCCGCGCUGGCGUAAUGGCUUUGACCGACCCGUCUUGAAACACGG
rnacentral:rRNA from 1 species